rnacentral:rRNA from 1 species
GGUUGAUCCUGCCAGUAGUCAUAUGCUCGUCUCAAAGAUUAAGCCAUGCAUGUCUAAGUAUAAACUGCUUAUACUGCGAAACUGCGAAUGGCUCAUUAAAUCAGUAAUCAAUUUAUUUGAUGGUUAACCUUGCUACUCGGAUAGCCGUAGUAACAUAGAGCUAAUACGUGCGUAAACCCCGACUUCGCGGAAGGGGCGUAUUUAUUAGAUAAAAGACCGACCGGGCUUGCCCGAUCCGCGGUGAUUCAUGAUAACUCGACGAAUCGUACGGCCUCGAGCCGACGAUGUUUCAU